GCUAGAGGAGGAAGACCAGGCUAGGGGAGGAAGACCAGGCUAGGGGAGGGAGACCAGGCUAGAGGAGGGAGACCAGGCUAGAGGAGGGAGACCAGGCUAGAGGAGGAAGACCAGGCUAGAGGAGGAAGGCCAGGCUAGAGGAGGAAGACCAGGCUAGGGGAGGAAGACCAGGCUAGAGGAGGAAGACCAGGCUAGAGGAGGAAGACCAGGCUAGAGGAGGAAGGCCAGGCUAGAGGAGGAAGGCCAGGCUAGAGGAGGAAGACCAGGCUAGAGGAGGAAGACCAGGCUAGGGGAGGGAGACCAGGCGAGAGGAGGGGGCACAUGAAGGAAAC
rnacentral:lncRNA from 1 species